UGCCAGCCGCCGCGGUAAUACGAAGGGUGCUAGCGUUGUUCGGAAUUACUGGGCGUAAAGAGCAUGUAGGCGGCUUGGCAAGUGUUGUGUGAAAGCCCGCAGCUUAACUGCGGAAUUGCAUGGUAAACUGCCUGGCUUGAGGUCGGUAGAGGUGUCUGGAACUCUAGGUGGAGCGGUGAAAUGCGUAGAUAUCUAGAGGAACGCCGGAGGCGAAAGCGGGACACUGGGCCGAUUCCGACGCUGAGAUCCGAAAGCGUGGGGAGCAAACAGGAUUAGAUA
rnacentral:rRNA from 1 species